CACACAGUUAGCAAGGUUCUUCUGCCAGGA
rnacentral:piRNA from 1 species